UACGUAGGGGGCAAGCGUUGUCCGGAAUCAUUGGGCGUAAAGCGCGCGUAGGCGGCCCGGUAAGUCCGUUGUAAAAGUCGAAGGCUCAACCUUCGAAAGCCGAUGGAUACUGCCGGGCUAGAGUCCGGAAGAGGCGAGUGGAAUUCCUGGUGUAGCGGUGGAAUGCGCAGAUAUCAGGAGGAACACCCAUAGCGAAGGCAGCUCGCUGGGACGGUACUGACGCUGAGACGCGAAAGCGUGGGGAGCGAACAGG
rnacentral:rRNA from 1 species